CGACCGGGUCGGCUUCGUCGACUAGGGUCGAAAUCUAGUAGGGCGAACGGGUGGAGUAACACGUGGGUAACCUAGCCCACUCAGAGGGGGAGUAACAAUUCGAACGGAUAGCUAAAACCGACAUAGGUCUUCGAACCGCAUGGUUUGAAGAGGAAAGAGGCGCAAGCUUCUGCUGAUGGAUGGACCCGCGGUGCAUUAGCUAGUUGGUGAGGUAACGGCUCACCAAGGCCGUGAUGCAUAGCCGACCUGAGAGGGUGAUCGGCCACAUUGGGACUGAGACACGGCCCAAACUCCUACGGGAGGGCAGCAGUAGGGAAUCUUCCGCAAUGGACGCAAGUCUGACGGAGGCAACGCCGCGUGAGUGAAGAAGGUUUUCGGAUCGUAAAACUCUGUUGUUAGAGAAGAACAAGUGCUAGAGUAGCUGUUAGCGCCUUGACGGUAUCUAACCAGAAAGCCACGGCUAACUACGUG
rnacentral:rRNA from 1 species